CACGACCCCACCGCCGGCUGGCCAGCCUGAGGGCACCCUCCCGGCGCCGGCUUCGCGGAGGCCGAGCGACAGCCGCCUCCUUAUUGGGAACGGAGAGGGCGGCAGCCGGGCCCGCUCCGCCGAGGCCCGAGGCCCAACGCCGCGACACGGGCCGAGCAGCGGCCAGGCAACCGCGCGCCCCUCGCACCCGUCCGUGGGUCUGGCCCGGGUCUCCUCACCAGUUCCGCGCACGGGGAGGGGCUGGCAACGGGCCGGAGGGGGCAGCGGCGCCCGAGGAGAGAACGCGGCCCCGGGCCUCGUGUCACUCACCGUUUGAAAUGCUCGAUGAUCUUCUCUUCCCGCACAUUCUCCGUUACGGCGACCACAAAGGGAUCCGGAGUGGACUUCUCUCCUUCACCUGAACUCUACGAGGAACUGGAGCCUUGGGACCAGCAGAGGCCCCUUGCACUCGUCUGCCUCCUUGGAGCGUCCAGAUGAAUUUGGGUCAACAUCAGGGAACUAGAUCCCGCAUGCCACAACUAAGACUCAGCACAGCC